GUGCUCACUUCAGCAGCACAUAUACUAAAAUUGGAAUGAUACACAGAAAAUUAGCAUGGCCCCUGUGCAAGGAUGACAUGCAAAUUUGUGAAGCGUUCUAUAUUUUA
rnacentral:snRNA from 1 species